AGUGAACGCUGGCGGUAGGCCUAACACAUGCAAGUCGAACGGCAGCACAGUAAGAGCUUGCUCUUACGGGUGGCGAGUGGCGGACGGGUGAGGAAUACAUCGGAAUCUACUUUUUCGUGGGGGAUAACGUAGGGAAACUUACGCUAAUACCGCAUACGACCUACGGGUGAAAGCAGGGGAUCUUCGGACCUUGCGCGAUUGAAUGAGCCGAUGUCGGAUUAGCUAGUUGGCGGGGUAAAGGCCCACCAAGGCGACGAUCCGUAGCUGGUCUGAGAGGAUGAUCAGCCACACUGGAACUGAGACACGGUCCAGACUCCUACGGGAGGCAGCAGUGGGGAAUAUUGGACAAUGGGCGCAAGCCGGAUCCAGCCAUACCGCGUGGGUGAAGAAGGCCUUCGGGUUGUAAAGCCCUUUUGUUGGGAAAGAAAAGCAGCAGGUUAAUACCCCGCUGUUCUGACGGUACCCAAAGAAUAGGCACCGGCUAACUUCG
rnacentral:rRNA from 1 species